UGGGGAAUCUUCGGCAAUGGGGGCAACCCUGACCGAGCAACGCCGCGUGAGUGAAGAAGGUUUUCGGAUCGUAAAGCUCUGUUGUAAGAGAAGAACGUGUGUGAGAGUGGAAAGUUCACACAGUGACGGUAACUUACCAGAAAGGGACGGCUAACUACGUGCCAGCAGCCGCGGUAAUACGUAGGUCCCGAGCGUUGUCCGGAUUUAUUGGGCGUAAAGCGAGCGCAGGCGGUUUAAUAAGUCUGAAGUUAAAGGCAGUGGCUUAACCAUUGUUCGCUUUGGAAACUGUUAAACUUGAGUGCAGAAGGGGAGAGUGGAAUUCCAUGUGUAGCGGUGAAAUGCGUAGAUAUAUGGAGGAACACCGGUGGCGAAAGCGGCUCUCUGGUCUGUAACUGACGCUGAGGCUCGAAAGCGUGGGGAGCAAACAGG
rnacentral:rRNA from 1 species